rnacentral:tRNA from 1 species
GGCGCUAUCGUCUAGGGGACUAGGACACGGCCCUCUCAAGGCUGGAACACGGGUUCGAAUCCCGUUAGCGCUA